GAGUUUGAACCUGGCUCAGGAUGAACGCUGGCGGCGUGCCUAAUACAUGCAAGUCGAACGAAACUUCUUUAUCACCGAGUGCUUGCACUCACCGAUAAAGAGUUGAGUGGCGAACGGGUGAGUAACACGUGGGCAACCUGCCCAAAAGAGGGGGAUAACACUUGGAAACAGGUGCUAAUACCGCAUAACCAUAGUUACCGCAUGGUAACUAUGUAAAAGGUGGCUAUGCUACCGCUUUUGGAUGGGCCCGCGGCGCAUUAGCUAGUUGGUGGGGUAAAGGCUUACCAAGGCAAUGAUGCGUAGCCGAACUGAGAGGUUGAUCGGCCACAUUGGGACUGAGACACGGCCCAAACUCCUACGGGAGGCAGCAGUGGGGAAUCUUCCGCAAUGGGCGAAAGCCUGACGGAGCAAUGCCGCGUGAGUGAAGAAGGCCUUCGGGUUGUAAAACUCUGUCCUUAUCGAAGAGAGGUGGGUAUG
rnacentral:rRNA from 1 species